ACUCAAAUGAAUUGACGGGGGCCCGCACAAGCGGUGGAUCAUGUGGUUUAAUUCGAAGCAACGCGAAGAACCUUACCUGGGUUUGACAUCCUCUGACCGCUGUAGAAAUACAGUUUUUGUAGCAAUACAACAGAGAGACAGGUGCUGCAUGGCUGUCGUCAGCUCGUGUGGUGACAUGUUGGGUUAAGUCCCGCAACGAGCGCAACCCCUGUUCUUAGUUGCCAGCAUUAAGUUGGGCACUCUAGGAAGACUGCCGUGGUUAACACGGAGGAAGGUGGGGAUGACGUCAAGUCCUCAUGGCCCUUAUAUCCAGGGCGACACACGUGAUACAAUGGACGGUACAAAGGGAAGCGAAGGAGCGAUCUGGAGCCAAUCCCAAAAAGCCGUUCUCAGUUCGGAUUGAAGUCUGCAAUUCGACUUCAUGAAGGUGGAAUCGCUAGUAAUCGCGGAUCAGAACGCCGCGGUGAAUACGUUCCCGGGCCUUGUACACACCGCCCGU
rnacentral:rRNA from 1 species